GAAAACCGCAUCACAAACCUUUGACUAGGCCGAGUCCCAUCGACCCAUUUCCAGUCAGCCCGAACGGCUCGCAGGACGCAUGAAGUCCGAAGCUGAACGGAACCGACCAGGAAAUGGUUCCGUCUGAGAUCCAAACACAGAGAGCAGAAUCUGGAUUGUUCUUCAGAACCUUAACCCGGUCCGGUUCUGCAGAAUCCCUGGUAUUUCCGGGUCAGCUUCAGCUCUUGCCAUGUCAGAAAUCUUUAACCGAAACCGUAAAACUUCUGUGUAAAACGACUAAAAGCAGAAAUUUUUACGUCCAACCAGAGGAUCAACGCAGCUCAGAAUAAUCUGCCUGUAAUCUGAGACAAUCCACUGAACAAUAAACCAGAUUCCUUCAGCUCCAGGUGUGGAAACAGCUGAUCAUCGUUUCCAUGUCUGAAUCUUCAGGAGCGUUAAAAACUCGGAGCGAGUUCAUUAAAAGGUUUCAGUUUCUACU